rnacentral:rRNA from 1 species
UUGGACCCACCUGACUCCAUCCCGAACUCAGAAGUGAAACGAAACAGCGUCGAUGGUAGUGUGGGGUCUCCCCAUGUGAGAGUAGAACAUCGCCAGGC